rnacentral:rRNA from 1 species
UGCCUACGGGAGGCAGCAGUGGGGGAUAUUGCACAAUGGGGGGAACCCUGAUGCAGCGACGCCGCGUGGGCGAUGGAGUGCUUCGGCAUGUAAAGCCCUAUCAGCAGGGAAGAAAAUGACGGUACCUGACUAAGAAGCCCCGGCUAACUACGUGCCAGCAGCCGCGGUAAUACGUAGGGGGCAAGCGUUAUCCGGAUUUACUGGGUGUAAAGGGAGCGUAGGCGGCGAUGCAAGUCAGAAGUGAAAGCCCGGGGCUCAACUCCGGGACUGCUUUUGAAACUGUGUUGCUAGAUUGCAGGAGAGGG